GUUUGAUCCUGGCUCAGGACGAACGCUGGCGGCGUGCCUAACACAUGCAAGUCGAACGGAGUGCUUGCAUCUGAUUCUUUCGGGAUGAAGAUGCAAGUAUCUCAGUGGCGAACGGGUGAGUAACGCGUGAGAAACCUGCCUUUCACAAAGGGAUAGCCUCGGGAAACUGGGAUUAAUACCAUAUAAAGUUCCUAAUUAGCAUUAAAAAGGAACCAAAGUGUAAGCGGUGAAAGAUGGUCUCGCGUCCCAUUAGCUAGUUGGUGAGAUAAAAGCCCACCAAGGCGACGAUGGGUAGCCGGCCUGAGAGGGUGACCGGCCACACUGGAACUGAGACACGGUCCAGACUCCUACGGGAGGCAGCAGUGGGGAAUAUUGCACAUGGAGGGAACUCUGAUGCAGCGACGCCGCGUGAGCGAAGAAGGCUUUCGAGUCGUAAAGCUCUGUCCUAGGGGACGAUAAUGACGGUACCCAAGGAGGAAGCCCCGGCUAACUACGUGCCAGCAGCCGCGGUAAUACGUAGGGGGCGAGCGUUGUCCGGAAUUAUUGGGCGUAAAGGGUUCGCAGGCGGCCUAUUAAGUCAGAUGUGAAAUCCCAUGGCUUAACCAUGGUAAGCAUUUGAAACUGAAAGGCUUGAGUUAAGGAGAGGAAAGUGGAAUUCCUAGUGUAGCGGUGAAAUGCGUAGAUAUUAGGAGGAAUACCAGUGGCGAAGGCGACUUUCUGGACUUUAACUGACGCUGAGGAACGAAAGCGUGGGUAGCAAACAGGAUUAGAUACCCUGGUAGCCCACGCCGUAAACGAUGAGUGCUAGGUGUUGGGGGUCAAACCUCGGUGCCGCAGCUAACGCAUUAAGCACUCCGCCUGGGGGAGUACGUACGCAAGUAUGAAACUCAAAGGAAUUGACGGGGACCCGCACAAGCAGCGGAGCAUGUGGUUUAAUUCGAAGCAACGCGAAGAACCUUACCAGGGCUUGACAUGCCUCUGAUCGUUCUAGAGAUAGAGCUUUCCCUUCGGGGACAGAGGACACAGGUGGUGCAUGGUUGUCGUCAGCUCGUGUCGUGAGAUGUUGGGUUAAGUCCCGCAACGAGCGCAACCCUUGUUCUUUAGUUGCUAACAGUUAAAGCUGAGCCCUUCUAGAAGAAGACUGCCGAUGAAUAAUCGGAAGAAGUGGGAUGACGUCAAAUCAUCAUGCCCUUUAUGUCCUGGGCUACACACGUGCUACAAUAGUCGGUACAACGAGAAGCGACCUAGCGAUAGGAAGCAAAUCUUAAAAAGCCGAUCCCAGUUCGGAUUGCAGGCUGCAACUCGCCUGCAUGAAGUCGGAGUUGCUAGUAAUCGCGAAUCAGAAUGUCGCGGUGAAUGCGUUCCCGGGUCUUGUACACACCGCCCGUCACACC
rnacentral:rRNA from 1 species